rnacentral:rRNA from 1 species
AGGACGAACGCUGGCGGCGUGCUUAACACAUGCAAGUCGAACGGUGAAGCCCUUCGGGGUGGAUCAGUGGCGAACGGGUGAGUAACACGUGAGCAACCUGCCCUUAGCUCCGGGAUAGCUCCGGGAAACCGGAAUUAAUACCGGAUAUGACCUAGGCCGACAUCGGCUGUGGGUGGAAAGUUUUUCGGCUGGGGAUGGACUCGCGGCCUAUCAGCUUGUUGGUGGGGUAAUGGCCUACCAAGGCGACGACGGGUAGCCGGCCUGAGAGGGCGACCGGCCACACUGGGGACUGAGACACGGCCCAGACUCCUACGGGAGGCAGCAGUGGGAAUCUUGCGCAAUGGGCGAAAGCCUGACGCAGCGACGCCGCGUGGGGGAUGGAAGGCCUUCGGGUUGUAAACCCCUUUCAGCAGGGACGAAGCGAAAGUGACGGUACCUGCAGAAGAAGCGCCGGCUAACUACGCGCCAGCAGCCGC